rnacentral:rRNA from 1 species
GCUUGUCUCAAAGAUUAAGCCAUGCAUGUCUAAGUAUAAGCUAUUUAUACGAGUGAAACUGCGAAUGGCUCAUUAUAUCAGUUAUAGUUUAUUUGAUGGUACUUACUACAUGGAUAACCGUGGUAAUUCUAGAGCUAAUACAUGCUAUCAAGCCCGACUUCUUGAAGGGUUGUAUUUAUUAGACUUAAGCCAAUAUUCCUUGUGUCUAUUGCGAUGAUUCAUAAUAACUGAUCGAAUCUCAAAUUUGAGAUAAAUCAUUCAAGUUUCUGCCCUAUCAGCUUUCGAUGGUAGUGUAUUGGACUACCAUGGCAGUAACGGGUAACGAAGAAUUAGGGUUCGAUUUCGGAGAGGGAGCAUGAGAAACGGCUACCACAUCCAAGGAAGGCAGCAGG